rnacentral:misc_RNA from 1 species
GUUGACUUGAUGUUAUGUUUUAAUACUAAAGCUAUAAUUUCAUUAAGCAUCAAAACCGCUCUUCGUUAUACUGAAUAUAUAAUUGAGUUAUUAAGUUAUAUGACUUUUUUUUUUUUCGCACUUAAGUAUUCAUUCAACUCUUCAAUACCUUCAAUAAUUAUGUCUAAUGGGGCAGUACUGUCAAUCUUUGACAAUUUGUGUUUAUUUGAUUACAUUUUUUUUUUUGUGAAUUAACAACUAUAAUGUGACGGAUGAUUUCAGGGGUUAAUAAUGGUGAUUGCACUGAUUAUAAUACUAAUUAGGGAAACAGUAACCGUUUUUCUGAUUGGCUAAACUACAACUGUUAGCCUUUGUUUGGUGCUUGCAGUUCAUUUGGUAGUUGUUUGACACAGGCCAUUGUGUGGUUGAAUGCCUCAGUGACACAUUGCUUAAUUAUUCUUUUCAAUCUUCAUUCAAGUAAUAUUUUAAUCAAAAUGUUAAAUCAGUUUUCAAUGUGAUCCUGUAAAAUUCAUUGGUUGUGCGGAAUCACUCAAAUUCUGUGAGAUUUGUCCAUCAUAUGCUUUUGUUACUGACCAAAUAUCCGAUAAGGUAUCUUCGAAAAUCCACACACCGCAAGUUGAGAGAAGCGACAACCACAAUCCCACCCUGAUCAUACUAACGCUAAUACUCGUUGGAUGUAUUCUUGGAGUUUUGCUAGCUGUGUUCGCAAUAUUCUGCUACCGGCAGAAAGCUAAAACACGCGACAAACUUAAAUCCCUCGCCACGGGUUCUGUCUCGGAGAAAGAAGCGACAGUGGACUAUCAGGUAUGGAAAUUACAGCAUGUUAUAAAAAUUUAAAAAUUUUUGAAUUAAAACUGAAUAGUAUUGAAUACUAUUUCCAGUAGACGUAACAGCUGGUUCAGAAUUGGAAUGGAACAAUAGCCAAUAGGAUUCCAUUUCACAGCUGCUGCAUAUCAAACCAAUGAAGGUGUUUAAAUGGGUUUUGUUUGCUUUAAACCAGUUUACUUUUUAAUAACCAUGUUACAGUAUGUACUUUAGACCGUAGUGAAUGUACAGCAGGGGUAAAGGUCAUUGCAGGGAUAACGAUCAUUUUGAAGUGUACUCGUAUGAGUGUAGUACAAGUUUAAAGGAGUAAGACAACCUGGAAGAUUCUUAUUUAUUGAAUGUCACCAAUUUUUGUCUUGAUUUACUAUACAACCGGACAUGGUUUUAUGCAAUGUUUUCCAAAUCCAUAGUACCAGGAUUAAAAAAAUACAAUGCCAGCAUUUUUCAUGUAACUAGAUAUACCUCCUGGUCAUUUGACUCGUAAAACAUGUAAAUUUAAAGUUAAUUGGAUGUGCAUAAAUUGUUUAUACAAAAUGUUCACUGCCAGAUUGUUAAUUUAAAUUACAUUUUUUUGCAAUGUUUAGUAUCUUUGUACUCAUCCAAUUAUAUAAUUUUUUUGUUUCAAAUACUCUCUUUGUCUCUGGAAAAUAAAAAACAACAUUUUCUAUAUCAGUAGCAUUGUUAGUAUCAUAAAUUUGCGUCCAAACUAUGUAGGUCCACAAAGAAUUGAAUGAUAAAAUAAUAAAAUAUUAAUAACAAUGAGGAUGAUUCAUUAAUAAUUUCCGAAAGUAAUUACCUGAUAUGGUAUAGCCAAUUGGGUUGAUCAAUACCACUUAUUAUG